AGCAGCCGCGGUAAUUCCAGCUCCAAUAGCGUAUAUUAAAGUUGUUGCAGUUAAAAAGCUCGUAGUUGAAUUUCGGGGUUAGUAGAUUGGUCAUGCCUCUGGUAUGCACUGGUCUUACUGAUUCCUCCUUCCUGAUGAACCGUAAUGCCAUUAAUUUGGUGUUGCGGGGAAACUGGACUGUUACUUUGAAAAAUUAGAGUGUUUAAAGCAGGCUAACGCUUGAAUACAUUAGCAUGGAAUAAUGAAAUAGGACGUUCGAUCUUAUUUUGUUGGUUUCUAGGAUUGACGUAAUGAUUAAUAGGGAUAGUUGGGGGCAUUAGUAUUCAAUUGUCAGAGGUGAAAUUCUUGGAUUUAUUGAAGACUAACUACUGCGAAAGCAUUUGCCAAGGAUGUUUUCAUUAAUCAAGAACGAAAGUUAGGGGAUCGAAGACGAUCAGAUACCGUCGUAGUCUUAACCAUAAACUAUGCCGACUAGGGAUCGGAUGAUGUUAAUUUUUAAUGACUCAUUCGGCGCCUUAAC
rnacentral:rRNA from 1 species